rnacentral:rRNA from 1 species
GUCUUAACGCGAAGAACCUUACCAGGUCUUGACAUCCCUUGACAACUCCAGAGAUGGAGCGUUCCCUUCGGGGACAAGGUGACAGGUGGUGCAUGGUUGUCGUCAGCUCGUGUCGUGAGAUGUUGGGUUAAGUCCCGCAACGAGCGCAACCCUUAUUACUAGUUGCCAGCAUUUAGUUGGGCACUCUAGUGAGACUGCCGGUGACAAACCGGAGGAAGGUGGGGAUGACGUCAAAUCAUCAUGCCCCUUAUGACCUGGGCUACACACGUGCUACAAUGGCGUAUACAACGAGUUGCCAACCCGCGAGGGUGAGCUAAUCUCUUAAAGUACGUCUCAGUUCGGAUUGUAGGCUGCAACUCGCCUACAUGAAGUCGGAAUCGCUA